GUAGGAAGCCAAACUGAGUUGGACAGUUUACCGAACUUCACUUAUAACACCUCAUCGUUCAAAACACUUUUGCAGAAAAAUUUAUGAAAGGAAGACCGCAGCUUUUAAAUAAAUAGCCUCAGGCGUUGGUAUUUCCCAGCUUUCAUCCAACGAGACUCGAGGUUACGACCAACAACAUUGUCAGUCAUCAUUAUGCAGUUUAAACUAAACUAGCUUUCUAGUUAGUUAGCUCAGGGAUUAAUUCCCAAUGCUAUGGACGAGGAUUCUGAAGACCGGUCCAGCCCGUCUCCAUCCUGCUCCACUGAACCCCAACCCACUGUGUCCCCGGGUCCUGACAGGAACCAUGGUGACCAGGAGGACAGUAACCAUGGUGAUCAGAAAGACACAGCGCAGGGUCAGGAGAGGGUUACUGUGAGUCUGGACAUCAACAGUGAAACACCAACAUUUAAUAUCGUAGUCAAAGAAGAAGAAGACUGGGAACUAGAUAAUACAGGAGAAAGUCCCAGCCAUCACUCUGCAGCCAGGGAGAGACCCUCUACAUCAGGAGAACCUGAGCAACACCAGAUGAAAUGCAGAACGAGGCAGAAAAAGACCCACUCAUGCCCAGAUUGUGGGAAACACUGCCAGACAUUAUCGGCACUACAAAUACACAUGAGAACCCACACAGGAGAGAAGCCUUACGCUUGCUUUGUGUGUGAGAAAACGUUCAUUAUUAGACAAGCUUUGAAAACACACCAGCGAACACACACAGGAGAGAAGCCUUAUACCUGCUCUGAGUGUGGGAAGGGCUUCGCUCAUCAAUGUAGUUUGAGAUACCACCAAAAGAGGAAUUCUGAACAGGUUAAAACAGACCCGAAUGAGAAGAUGACCUGCUGCUGUGGACAAGAGUUCUCCUCAAAGUGCGUUCUGGAGGUUCACUUGAAGACGGACACUGGAGCCAAGCCUUACACCUGCUGUGUGUGUGGCAAGAGGUUCAAUAAAGAAUCAUUAAAAGAACACCAGAGAUCCCAUACAGGAGAGAUGCCUUACUCUUGCUCUUUCUGUGGCAAGGGUUACUAUCACAAACCGGCUUGGAAAGCCCACGAGCGAACACACACUGAGGAGAAGCCCCUGUGCUCUGUGUGCGGACGGACCUGCUCUAGUAAGUAUACGUUAAAAGUCCACGAACGAACACACACAGGAGAGAUGCCUUACCUCUGCUCUGAGUGUGGCAAGGGCUUCAUCAGUAAAGGACUCCUGAUGACCCACGAGCGAUUCAAUUGUUCUGGGGGAGAGGAACGACGGCGACCAAAGAGAUUUCACAAGUGUCCGGACUGUGGGAAGGAGUUCACACAAGCAAACAAACUGGAGAGACACAUGAGAACACACACAGGGGAGAGGCCUUACCAGUGCUCUGUGUGUGGGAUGAGGUUCAACCAGAAAGGGAAUCUCAAAACGCAUUUUAAAGUGCACACAGGCAGGGAUCCCAGUUUGCUGCCUGACAUGGACAUGAGGACGACUUCUUCAGAAGCAGCGAAACAACCUCCGGACAACAGACAUGAUGUUGGGAAACCACAACACUGCCUGAAUCAGAUUGGCAAGGAGGGAACCCACAACCUACCGGCAGCACAAACCCACAAACUACCGGCACCACAAACCCACAAACUACCGGCACCACAAACCCACAAUCUACCGGCACCACAAACCCACAAACUACCGGCACCACAAACCCACAAUCUACCGGCACCACAAACCCACAAUCAUCCGGCACCACAAACCCACAAUCAUCCGGCACCACAAACCCACAAUCAUCCGGCACCACAAACCCACAAUCAUCCGGCACCACAAACCCACAAUCAUCCGGCACCACAAACCCACAAUCAUCCGGCACCACAAACCCACAAUCAUCCGGCACCACAAACCCACAAUCAUCCGGCACCACAAACCCACAAUCAUCCGGCACCACAAACCCACAAUCUACCGGCACCACAAACCCACAAUCUACCGGCACCACAAACCCACAAUCUACCGGCACCACAAACCCACAAUCUACCGGCACCACAAACCCACAAUCUACCGGCACCACAAACCCACAAUCUACCGGCACCACAAACCCACAAUCAUCCGGCACCACAAACCCACAAUCAUCCGGCACCACAAACCCACAAUCUACCGGCACCACAAACCCACAAUCAUCCGGCACCACAAACCCACAACCUACCGGCACCACAAACCCACAACCAUCCGGCACCACAGAGGGAGGUAAGCCACCACCUCCCGUCAGCACAGAAACCCACCAUGUCCCCCAGGGGAGAAAAACACUAUCUCUGCCCUGAAUGUGGCAAGACUUACACCCGGGAAUACGACCUCCGAGUCCACCUCAGAACGCACACAGGAGAGAGACCGUACCAGUGCUAUGACUGCGGGAAGGCCUACGUCCGGAAAAACAAUCUCCAACAACACCAGCGGUCACAUGCUCCUAAGCCCAUGGGACCGACCCGCCAUUUAGGCAGACCACCCAGGGUGGGCUCUAGUGGUGGAAGGUCUAACCAAUCACCCAGGGUAGGAAGAGCUAAGAAAAAAAUACAUACAUCAAUGUAAAUAUGAGAGACUCAUGCCCUUACCGCAGAUGGAGAGAGGACACUGGCAGUACUGGCACCUUUAAACAUGGGGCUGGGUCCAUAACUUCAUCCCAAUUGGCACCCUAUUCCCUAUAUAAUGCACUACUUUUGACCAGGGCCCAUAUGGGAACCUUAAGGGCUCUGCUGAAAUGUAGUGCACUAUAUAGGGAAUAGGGUGCUAUUUUGGACACCCACAAUGCCUCAUGACUACAGAAUCGUUCUUCUUUCUGGUGUGUGCGCACGUCUGUAUGCACUCACGUAUUUGUGUGUGUGUGUGUUGUUGUGAUCAGUACAAUAGAGUCCACUGUGUUGUGUAAGAUAAUCAUACUAUGUAAUCCUUUGCAUUUUAUUUCAUAUAUCUUAUUUUACUUAUUGAAGCUAUCAUGAUACUAAGAAAUGACUUGCAUUUCAUAUAACGCCAUGGUCUAAUAAAUGAACAUUUGGGGGAAAACGUCUCUCCUUUAUUACCCUUAUCCAGGACACACUGACGUCACAGAUGCGCGACUCUUUCGGAGGCAGUAAGAAAGCCAUUCAACAUAGCCUAGAUUGACGUUCUUAUUACUUCUAAACAAAAUACACUUUUUGGGGUUCUUAUAGGCUUACAAUGAUGUUUUGAUUCUUUCUUGAACAGUCGCUAAGAUUAUAUUUGGUUGUGAUCUUUGCAAAAUAACUAUUUUGGAUGUAGCAGUUGUUAGCUAGAAUGCUAACGCUCAUUGAUUAUAGCCAGUCGCAAAAGCUAGCCAAAAAUACAUUUGACUAGUUUAAGUGUUUAAGUAUAAUGCAGUUGAUUUGUGAUGACACAAACAUAUUAAGCAGGACAUUCAUACGAGCCUUAAAAUCCAAGUAUAAUCCAAUAGUAGUGUGAAAUGCACUCAUAAGCAACAUGUAAAUAGAGGCUUUUUUUGCUGGCAUUCUAUAAGAACUCCCCCUUGUUCUUCCACCAACUUGCGGGAAUGUUUGCAAACAGAAAGGGGUCUAUAAAACAUUUGAUUUCAGAAGCGGUCAGACAGCUACAGGUAACUGCCAGAAUAAAGGAAACGGGUUUCAGCCAGGGAUCUCCAACCUUGUUCCUGGAGAGCAACCCUCCUACAUGUUUCGCGCCAACCCCAGUUGUAACUAACCAGAUUCAGCUCAUCAAUCAGCUAAUUAUUAGAAUCAACUCAUCAACCAGCUAAUUAUUAGAAUCAGGUGCGCUACAUGAAGGUUGUAGCAAAAACCUACAGGAUGGAACAGUGUUGUAGAGUCCUGGUUGAAACCUACAGGAUGGAACAGUGUGGAGAAGCCUGCUUUAAACCUACAGGACGGUAGCUCCCCAGGAACAGUGUUGGAGAGGCCUGGUUUAAACCUACAGGAUGGAACAGUGUUGGAGAGGCCUGCUUUAAACCUACAGGAUGGAACAGUGUUGGAGAGGCCUGCUUUAAACCUACAGGAUGGAACAGUGUUGGAGAGGCCUGCUUUAAACCUACAGGAUGGUAGCUCCCCAGGAACAGUGUUGGAGAGGCCUGCUUUAAACCUACAGGAUGGAACAGUGUUGGAGAGGCCUGGUUUAAACCUACAGGAUGGAACAGUGUUGGAGAGGCCUGGUUUAAACCUACAGGACGGAACAGUGUUGGAGAGGCCUGCUUUAAACCUACAGGACGGAACAGUGUUGGAGAGGCCUGCUUUAAACCUACAGGACGGAACAGUGUUGGAGAGGCCUGGUUUAAACCUACAGGAUGGAACAGUGUUGGAGAGGCCUGCUUUAAACCUACAGGACGGAACAGUGUUGGAGAGGCCUGGUUUAAACCUACAGGAUGGAACAGUGUUGGAGAGCCCUGUUUAUAACCUACAGGACGGUAGCUCCCCAGGAACAGGGUUGGAGAGCCCUGGUUUAAACCUACAGGACGGUAGCUUCACAGGAACAGUGUUGGAGAGCCCUGGUUUAAACAUACAGGACGGUGUUGGAGAGCCCUGUUUAUAACCUACAGGACGGUAGCUCCCCAGGAACAGGGUUGGAGAGCCGUGGUUUAAACCUACAGGAUGGAACAGUGUUGGAGAGCCUUGGUUUAAACCUACAGGACGGCAGCUUCACAGGAACAGUGUUGGAGAGCCUUGGUUUAAACCUACAGGAGGGCAGCUUCACAGGAACAGUGUUGGAGAGCCCUGUUUAUAACCUACAGUACGGUAGCUCCCCAGGAACAGUGUUGGAGAGCCCUGGUUUAGGGUGAUCACUCAAAUUGGCUGUAAUGAGGGACGAGUGUUUGCAGGACUCUGAAGACCCGUCCAGCCCGUCUCCAUCCUGCUCCACUGAACCCCAACCCACUGUGUCCCCGGGUCCUGACAGUGACCAGGAGGACAGUAACCAUGGUGAUCAGAAAGACACAGCGCAGGGUCGGGAGAGGGUUACUGUGAGUCUGGACAUCAACAGUGAAACACCAACAUUUAAUAUCGUAGUCAAAGAAGAAGAAGACUGGGAACUAGAUAAUACAGGAGAGAGUCCCAGCCAUCACUCUGCAGCCAGGGAGAGACCCUCUACAUCAGGAGAACCUGAGCAACACCAGAUGAAAUGCAGAACGAGGCAGAAAAAGACCCACUCAUGCCCAGAUUGUGGGAAACACUGCCAGACAUUAUCGGCACUACAAAUACACAUGAGAACCCACACAGGAGAGAAGCCUUAUACCUGCUCUGAGUGUGGGAAGGGCUUCACUCAUCAAUGUAGUUUGAGAUACCACCACCAGAAGAAACAUUCUGAACAGAUUAAAACAGACCCGGAUGACAAGAUUGGCUGCUGUUGUGGACAAGAGUUCUCUUCAAAGAAUGUUCUGGAGGUUCACUUGAAGACAAACGCUGGCGACAAGCCUUACGCCUGCUGUGUGUGUAAGAAGACUUUUACUCAUAAAGCAUUACUGAAAGUACACCAGCGAUCCCACACAGGAGAGAAGCCUUUCUCUUGCUCUCUGUGUGAGAAGAGUUUUACUCAAAAAGGAAAUUUGACAACACACGAGAAGUCGCACGCCGGAGAGAAACAUCCUUGCUCAGUCUGUGGAAAGAGUUUCACUCAGAAAGGCUAUCUGAAGAUUCAUCAGCGGCUUCACUGUUCUGAAGGGGACUUGAGUUCCUCUGUAUCAAGAGAACUUGAACACCGACAGAGGAGAGCUAAGGAGACUCACAGAUGCCCAGACUGUGGGAAGGAGUUCCCUCAAACAUAUUACCUGGACAGACACAUGAGAACACACACAGGAGAGAGGCCUUACCAGUGCUCUGUGUGUGGGAUGAGUUUCACGCAGAAAGGAAAUUUAAAAACGCAUCAGAAAGUGCACACAGGAGACUAUCCCAGCUCCUGGUCCACUGGUGAGGGGAGUCCCUGUACAUCGGGAGAAGCUGAACAACACCAGGAGAACCACACGGCCGUCACAUCUCACGGCUGCCUAGUGUGUGGCGAGGAAUACUCAAACCUCCCAGAACUACACAAACACAUGAGAUCUCACUCGGGAGAAAAGUGUUUCAUCUGCCCUGUGUGUGGCAAGACUUACUCCAGAGAAUUUGACCUCAAAGUCCACCUCAGAACACAUACAGGAGAGAAACCCCACGAGUGCAUCGAAUGCGGCAAGAGCUUUGUCCGUAAACAAGGGCUCCGGCAGCACCAGCGGACACAUGAUGCCAAGCCCAUCGGACCGACCCGCCAGUUAGGCAGGCCAAAGCAGUUAACCACCAUGGACAGGCCAAAGCAUUUAUCCAGGGCUCAGAUGUCCAAGAAAGUGCCUAAAAUGGAGAGUGAUACAGAGAUACAGGACUGCCAGUACUAUGACAAUUAACCGCGACUUUGUCUCUUAAUAGGUAGAGUUCUUCUCGCUGUGUUUGUGUUGUCGCCAUCUCUGAUCAGUAAGAUAAUCAUGCUAACUCUCACUCAUCUCACCAAUCAACAUAUUAUGAUCAACAAAAAAGGGGGGGAAGUGUCCCUUUUUUUGGGGGGUCAAUUUUUCAUCAAUGCUGUGAUGGUGCUAAGAAAUCAACAGUGACUUGUAGCCCACUUGUGAAAUGUUCCUCACUGAUAAUAACCAUGUCAUGAUUAAUAAAGAAGCAUUCUGGUUAGGA